rnacentral:misc_RNA from 1 species
AGUAACCACGCACUGCACAGUGAACCCCUUCUGUCUAACCACCACAAAGGCCAUAUUCUUACCCACAGCACGAGUCGUCUGGGCGCGGCCCCUUAUCAACACCUCCUUAUCCUUCAACCCCUCGCUUAGGUCCCCGACUCUGGUCCACUCGCUGAGAUCGGUCUCCUCCUUCGACUGGAGCUCAUACAGCGGCACAUUACCGUAUUUGGCGGCCAACGGAUCUUCCUCUUCCCCAAUGGCGAUAGAUGAGGCGGCGGAGGCUAACGCAGCUUCGUGGCGGCGGCGUAACUUCUCUUGUUUAGCAGCCUCCUUCUUGGAAGCUUUCUUGCUGACGGAUUUGAAUGAUUCUUCGUCUACUUGCUCCAUCGGAAAGGUAGCGUUGUUUGGUUUCGGUGGAAUAGAUACUGCGUGUGAGAAGGAAAUAAGUGAGAAGGAAAUGAGUCAAUACAGAAAUUUCAGAGAAACCCUACUCUACUUCAUCCGGCCUUUU